rnacentral:lncRNA from 11 species
AUUUUCUUUUCUUCGAAGAAAAUACGCGCCGGAAUUCGCCUACAGGCUUCGUAAAAUGGCUUAGAACGACCGUACACACGGUGGUUUGUGAUUACCCUUUAAAGAGUAAAAAAAUACUCAUUUUCAAAUAGCAUAGAUAUCUGUCAUAAAAAGGGUAAAUUCAGGAUUCCAAAACGGGUAAAUAAACACCCAUUAUUGUGAAGCCCAUGCAGAUUAAAAAUGCGUGUUUUUUUACCCAUUUAUGGGUGAAAAAAAUAGUUGGUCAUCAAUUCAUAGCAUGAAGCUGGUGUUAUUCGUUGUAAAAGUAUUUUGUUUAAAUUGUUCUGGUUUAACUUUUAGUAUAUUUGUUUAUACGGCAUUCAAAAAAGCGAUUUGUCUAUUGUUUCUGUAGGCUGCAGUCGAUAUCUGGUUCCAGCAAGUAUUGGCAUAGAGGAGCAAUAGCAUGAGGGAAAACGAAAUAAAUUAAGUAUUAAAUUGGAUAAGUAUGUCAAAUACUAUAGUACAAACGAUUGUUUUCGAUCGUUUCAUUUCAAAGAUUCCGAUUUCAGUUGAGGUUAUAAUUAUUUAUUAUCAUCAUCCACAAAAUGGGUAAAUUUUUACCCUUUUUCGGCUGCGAGCGCGGUUUGCAAAGCGGGUUGUCUCGUUGUUCCUGCCACCUUGCCUGUAGCUGACAUGUCGCUGGUCGAAAGGAAGUAGCUGUUGGUGCAGAAACAAAAUAUCUUUAUAUAUUAAUACAUUUAUCAAGCGUAUUGUAUUAAUACAAUUAAUUGUGUUAAUAAAAACUAUUAUUUCGAUUUCUAUAUUUAUUUA